rnacentral:rRNA from 1 species
ACUCCUACGGGAGGCAGCAGUGGGGAAUAUUGCACAAUGGGCGCAAGCCUGAUGCAGCCAUGCCGCGUGUAUGAAGAAGGCCUUCGGGUUGUAAAGUACUUUCAGCAGUGAGGAAGGUGGAUAUGUUAAUAGCAUAUUCAUUUGACGUUAGCUGCAGAAGAAGCACCGGCUAACUCCGUGCCAGCAGCCGCGGUAAUACGGAGGGUGCGAGCGUUAAUCGGAAUUACUGGGCGUAAAGCGCAUGCAGGUGGUUUGUUAAGUCAGAUGUGAAAGCCCGGGGCUCAACCUCGGAAUUGCAUUUGAAACUGGCAAACUAGAGUACUGUAGAGGGGGGUAGAAUUUCAGGUGUAGCGGUGAAAUGCGUAGAGAUCUGAAAGGAAUACCGGUAGGCGAAGGCGGCCCCCUGGACAGAUACUGACACUCAGAUGCGAAAGCGUGGGGAGCAAACAGGAUUAGAUACCCUUGUAGGCUCUGC